GGACAACAUGGGGGCACAAGAGCGUUGGCUUGUUUCUCUUUUGAAUUCCUGAUUCAGAAAGCAAUGGGUUCAGGGUCUUGGUGGAUUGUGAUUGAUCUACUCCUGUGGAGAGAAACUCCAACCUCCUGGAGUCUCUUGCCAAGACAUCAAGGAUCUCAAGGCACUGCGGGGCCUGAACAAGGACGACAGGGAUGUGGAUCACCCAGCCUUGUCCUCAGACGCCUAUAAUGUCUCCCUGGGAGUCUGCAGUGAGGUUUGAGCACAGUCAAGAAGAGAUUGAGGAACAUUGAAGGAAGACCAAGAUGUUUCUUGAUCACUGUUCUGUUGCUGUGAAGAGACACCAUGACCAAGGCAGCUCUUAUAAAACAAAGCAUUUGAGACUUAGAGGUUUCAUCCAUUUCCAUCAUGGUAGGAAGUAUGGCACUUGCAGGCAGACAUGGUCCUGGAGGAGAAACUGAGACUUCUACAUCUGGAUCCUCAAACAACUGGAACAGAGAGACUCUGAGUUGGGAAUGGGCUUUUUGAAACCUCAAAACCCACCCUCAGUGACACACUUCCUCCAACAAGGCCACGCCCCCUAAAUCCUCCCAAGUAGUUCCACUUCCUGAUGACUAAGCUUUCAAACAUAUGAGCAUAUGGGGGGGGGGGCGCAUUCUCGUUCAAAGCACUGCAAGAUGAUAUAAACACCACAGGAGCCAUAUUACUCGUUCAACAAUGGCACAGCGUCACAAUGCAAGUUCUAGUAUUCUUUGUCUCCAAAUCAGCUUGGUAGCAUUCUCAGAACACCCUGUCUCUAUUUCUCAUGAUUCUCCACUCCCCCCACACCUCUGGGUUUCUCCUUCGCUAUAACAAAAACAAUAAAGCAGUGUUUCUCAAA
rnacentral:lncRNA from 1 species